rnacentral:rRNA from 1 species
AGCAAGAGCUUGCUCUUGGCUGACGAGUGGCGGACGGGUGAGUAACGCGUGGGAAUCUGCCUAGUAGUUGGGGACAACCUGGUGAAAACCAGGCUAAUACCGAAUGUGGUCUACGGACUAAAGCAGGGGAUCUUCGGACCUUGCGCUACUAGAUGAGCCCGCGUUAGAUUAGCUAGUUGGUGAGGUAAAAGCUCACCAAGGCGACGAUCUAUAGCUGGUCUGAGAGGACGAUCAGCCACACUGGGACUGAGACACGGCCCAGACUCCUACGGGAGGCAGCAGUGGGGAAUAUUGGACAAUGGGCACAAGCCUGAUCCAGCAAUACCGCGUGUGUGAAGAAGGCCUGAGGGUUGUAAAGCACUUUCAAUUGUGAAGAAAGGAUUAAGGUUAAUAACCUUGAUUUUUGACGUUAACUUUAGAAGAAGCACCGGCUAACCCUGUGCCAGCAGCCGCGGUAAUACAGGGGGUGCGAGCGUUGAUCGGAAUUACUGGGCGUAAAGCGUACGUAGGCGGAUAUUUAAGUCAGAUGUGAAAGCCCCGGGCUCAACCUGGGAACUGCAUUUGAAACUGGAUGUCUAGAGUUUGGUAGAGGCGGGUAGAAUUCCUAGUGUAGCGGUGAAAUGCGUAGAUAUUAGGAGGAAUACCAGUGGCGAAGGCGGCCCGCUGGACCAAAACUGACGCUGAGGUACGAAAGCGUGGGGAGCAAACGGGAUUAGAUACCCCGGUAGUCCACGCCGUAAACGAUGUCAACUAGUCGUUGGGUCCUUCGGGGCUUAGUGACGCAGCUAACGCGUGAAGUUGACCGCCUGGGGAGUACGGCCGCAAGGCUAAAACUCAAAUGAAUUGACGGGGGCCCGCACAAGCGGUGGAGCAUGUGGUUUAAUUCGAUGCAACGCGAAGAACCUUACCUACCCUUGACAUCAUCAGAACUUGUUAGAGAUAACUCGGUGCCUUCGGGAACUGAAUGACAGGUGCUGCAUGGCUGUCGUCAGCUCGUGUCGUGAGAUGUUGGGUUAAGUCCCGCAACGAGCGCAACCCUUGUCCUUAGUUGCCAGCACGUAAUGGUGGGAACUCUAAGGAGACUGCCGGUGAUAAACCGGAGGAAGGUGGGGAUGACGUCAAGUCAUCAUGGCCCUUAUGGGUAGGGCUACACACGUGCUACAAUGGUACAUACAGAGGGCAGCGACCUCGCGAGAGCAAGCAAAUCCCAGAAAGUGUAUCGUAGUCCGGAUUGGAGUCUGCAACUCGACUCCAUGAAGUCGGAAUCGCUAGUAAUCGUGAAUCAGAAUGUCACGGUGAAUACGUUCCCGGGCCUUGUACACACCGCCCGUCACACCAUGGGAGUGGGCUGCAAAAGAAGUAGGUAGCAUAACCUUCGGGGGUGCGCUUACCACUUUGUGGUUCAUGACUGG